GAUGAACGCUAGCGGCAGGCUUAACACAUGCAAGUCGAGGGGUAUAGUUCUUCGGAACUAGAGACCGGCGCACGGGUGCGUAACGCGUAUGCAAUCUACCUUUUGCAGAGGGAUAGCCCAGAGAAAUUUGGAUUAAUACCUCAUAGUAUGUGAGAAUGGCAUCAUUUUCACAUUAAAGUCACAACGGCAAAAGAUGAGCAUGCGUCCCAUUAGCUUGUUGGUAAGGUAACGGCUUACCAAGGCAACGAUGGGUAGGGGUCCUGAGAGGGAGAUCCCCCACACUGGUACUGAGACACGGACCAGACUCCUACGGGAGGCAGCAGUGGGGAAUAUUGGACAAUGGGCGAAAGCCUGAUCCAGCAAUGCCGCGUGAGUGAUGAAGGCCUUAGGGUUGUAAAGCUCUUUUACCCGGGAUGAUAAUGACAGUACCGGGAGAAUAAGCUCCGGGCUAAACUCCGUGCCAGCAGCCGCGGUAAU
rnacentral:rRNA from 1 species